rnacentral:rRNA from 1 species
AGCGAACGCUGGCGGCAGGCUUAACACAUGCAAGUCGAGCGGGGCAGUAGACGAAUAUGUCAGCGGCAGACGGGUGAGUAACGCGUGGGAACGUACCUUUUGGUUCGGAACAACACAGGGAAACUUGUGCUAAUACCGGAUAAGCCCUUACGGGGAAAGAUUUAUCGCCGAAAGAUCGGCCCGCGUCUGAUUAGCUAGUUGGUGAGGUAAUGGCUCACCAAGGCGACGAUCAGUAGCUGGUCUGAGAGGAUGAUCAGCCACAUUGGGACUGAGACACGGCCCAA